rnacentral:rRNA from 1 species
AUUGAACGCUGGCGGCAGGCCUAACACAUGCAAGUCGAGCGGAGCGGCGGACGGGUGAGUAAUGCCUAGGAAUCUGCCUGGUAGUGGGGGAUAACGUCCGGAAACGGGCGCUAAUACCGCAUACUAUCAGAUGAGCCUAGGUCGGAUUGGUUAGUAGGUGGGGUAAAGGUUAACCUAGGCGACGAUCCAUAGCUGGUCUGAGAGGAUGACCAGCCACACUGGAAAUGGGACACGGCCCAGCAUCCUACGGGAGGCAGCGGUGGGGAAUAUGGCACAAUGGGCGCAAGCCUGAUGCAGCCAUGCCGCGUGUGUGAAGAAGGCCUUCGGGUUGUAAAGCACUUUCAGCGGGGAGGCGUUACCCGCAGAAGAAGCACCGGCUAACUCCGUGCCAGCAGCCGCGGUAAUAC